ACUCGAGUGGCGAACGGGUGAGUAACACGUGGGUGAUCUGCCCUGCACUCUGGGAUAAGCCUAGGAAACUGGGUCUAAUACCGGAUAGGACCAUGCUUUAGUGUGUGUGGUGGAAAGUUUUUCGGUGUAGGAUGAGCCCGCGGCCUAUCAGCUUGUUGGUGGGGUAAUGGCCUACCAAGGCGGCGACGGGUAGCCGGACUGAGAGGUUGGUCGGCCACAUUGGGACUGAGAUACGGCCCAG
rnacentral:rRNA from 1 species